rnacentral:rRNA from 1 species
UAACGCCACCGAAAGGUGGUCUAAUACUUCAUAAUAUCCAUCUCGUAUGGAUUAAAGCUUUAUGCGCUUUGGAGGGGCCUGCGUAACAUUAGCUUGUUGGUGAGGUAAAAGCUCACCAAGGCUUCGAUGUUUAACUGGUUUGAGAGGAUGACCAGUCACACUGGGACUGAGAUACGGCCCAGACUCCUACGGGAGGCAGCAGUAAGGAAUCUUCCACAAUGGGGGCAACCCUGAUGGAGCAAUACCGCGUGCAGGAUGAAGCGUUUCGGCGUGUAAACUGCUUUUAUCACCGAAGAUUAUGACUGUAGGUGAAGAAUAAGGACCGGCUAACUACGUG